rnacentral:rRNA from 1 species
UGGGGAAUAUUGGACAAUGGGGGGAACCCUGACCCAGCAACGCCGCGUGAAGGAUGAAGUAUUUCGGUAUGUAAACUUCGUAAGAAUAGGAAGAAUAAAUGACGGUACUAUUUGUAAGGUCCGGCUAACUACGUGCCAGCAGCCGCGGUAAUACGUAGGGACCAAGCGUUGUUCGGAUUUACUGGGCGUAAAGGGCGCGUAGGCGGCGUGGUAAGUCAUCUGUGAAAUCUCCGAGCUUAACUCGGAACGGUCAGAUGAUACUGCUGUGCUAGAGUACAGAAAGGGCAAUCGGAAUUCUUGGUGUAGCGGUGAAAUGCGUAGAUAUCAAGAGGAACACCUGAGGCGAAGGCGGGUUGCUGGGCUGACACUGACGCUGAGGCGCGAAAGCCAGGGGAGCAAACGGGAUUAGAUACCCCAGUAGUCCCUGAGCGGGCUGGCAAGGCGCAU